rnacentral:misc_RNA from 1 species
GCAAACUAUUCUCGCCUAUGGAUGGAACGUAUUCGAUCGCUUCCAUCACUGUGAACUAGCAAGCACUGAAAGGAAAGUGUAUCCCUUGCUCUCUGGAUUGCUCACUUGCUUGCGUAAUGGUCAGGAGAAGAAAUGAAACUAGCAACAUAUAGAAUUCCAAUAGCGGUAGGAGAACUAUUACCUACAGGUCCUCUUACUGGGACAUCAGUUACAACAGACAGAUAAGAGGGCGGACUCUAUAGGGAUCUUAGAUAGGCUGGCUAAGAAAAAGAAAAGGCAGGCCCUUAAUAUUUGGAUAUUUCAAAUCCAGUUUUUGGGAGAUAAG